UGGAGCAUCAUAGAGGGUGAGAAUCCCGUCUUUGACAUGGACUUCCUGUACAUGAUGGUGUGCUCUCAAAGAGUCGAGUUGUUUGGGAAUGCAGCUCAAAAUGGGUGGUAAAUGCCAUCUAAAGCUAAAUACUGGCGAGAGACCGAUAGCGAACAAGUACCGUGAGGGAAAGAUGAAAAGAACUUUGGAAAGAGAGUUAAACAGUACGUGAAAUUGCUGAAAGGGAAACGCUUGAAGUCAGUCGCGUUAGCCAGAGAUCAGCCUUGCUCUUGCUUGGUGUAUUAUCUGGUUGAUGGGUCAGCAUCAAUUUUGACCAUUGGAUAAAGUCUUUGGGAAUGUGGCAUCUUUUGGAUGUGUUAUAGCCCAUUGUUGCAUACAGUGGUUGGGAUUGAGGAACUCAGCACGCUGCAAAGGCCGGGUUUUUGACCACGUUCGUGCUUAGGAUGCUGGCAUAAUGGCUUUAAUCGACCCGUCUUGAAACACGGACCAAGGAGUCUAACAUGCCUGCAAGUGUUUAGGUGGCAAACCUAUGCGCGUAAUGAAAGUGAAAGUUGAGAUCCCUGUAAGGGGGAGCAUUGAUGCCUGGACCAGACCUUUUGUGAUGGAUCCACGGUAGAGCAUGUAUGUUGGGACCCGAAAGAUGGUGAACUAUGCCUGAAUAGGGUGAAGCCAGAGGAAACUCUGGUGGAGGCUCGUAGCGAUUCUGACGUGCAAAUCGAUCGUCAAAUUUGGGUAUAGGGGCGAAAGACUAAUCGAACCAUCUAGUAGCUGGUUCCUGCCGAAUUUUCCCUCAGGAA
rnacentral:rRNA from 1 species